ensembl:misc_RNA Y_RNA Y RNA
GCUUGGUCUGAAGAUAGUGAAUUGUCUCAAUUGAUUGUUUUACAGAUAGAACUCCUUGUUCUACUAUUUCUCCAUUCUCACUGCUGCACUUGACUUAAA